ACGCUAGCUACAGGCUUAACACAUGCAAGUCGAGGGGAAACGGCAUUUAGUGCUUGCACCGAAUGGACGUCGACCGGCGCACGGGUGAGUAACGCGUAUCCAACCUUCCCAUAACUAAGGAAUAACCUGCCGAAAGGCAGACUAAUACCUUAUGUAAUCCUUUGAUGGCAUCAGAUAAGGAUAAAAGAUUUAUCGGUUAUGGAUGGGGAUGCGUCUGAUUAGCUUGUUGGCGGGGUAACGGCCCACCAAGGCAACGAUCAGUAGGGGUUCUGAGAGGAAGGUCCCCCACAUUGGAACUGAGACACGGUCCAAACUCCUACGGGAGGCAGCAGUGAGGAAUAUUGGUCAAUGGACGGAAGUCUGAACCAGCCAAGUAGCGUGCAGGAAGACGGCCCUAUGGGUUGUAAACUGCUUUUGUAUGGGGAUAAAGUCAAUCACGUGUGAUUGUUUGCAGGUACCAUACGAAUAAGGACCGGCUAAUUCCGUGCCAGCAGCCGCGGUAAUACGGAAGGUUCGGGCGUUAUCCGGAUUUAUUGGGUUUAAAGGGAGCGUAGGCCGGAGAUUAAGUGUGUUGUGAAAUGUAGACGCUCAACGUCUGACUUGCAGCGCAUACUGGUUUCCUUGAGUACGCACAACGUUGGCGGAAUUCGUCGUGUAGCGGUGAAAUGCUUAGAUAUGACGAAGAACUCCGAUUGCGAAGGCAGCUGACGGGAGCGCAACUGACGCUUAAGCUCGAAGGUGCGGGUAUCGAACAGGAUUAGAUACCCUGGUAGUCCGCACAGUAAACGAUGGAUGCCCGCUGUUGGUACCUAGUAUCAGCGGCUAAGCGAAAGCAUUAAGCAUCCCACCUGGGGAGUACGCCGGCAACGGUGAAACUCAAAGGAAUUGACGGGGGCCCGCACAAGCGGAGGAACAUGUGGUUUAA
rnacentral:rRNA from 1 species